UACGAAGGGGGCUAGCGUUGCUCGGAAUUACUGGGCGUAAAGGGCUCGUAGGCGGCCAACUAAGUCGGAUGUGAAAUCCCCAAGCUUAACUUGGGAACUGCAUCCGAUACUGGAUGGCUUGAAUUCGGGAGAGGGAUGCAGAAUUCCAGGUGUAGCGGUGAAAUGCGUAGAUAUCUGGAGGAAUACCGGUGGCGAAGGCGGCAUCCUGGACCGACAUUGACGCUGAACGGCGAAAGCUAGGGGAGCAAACGGG
rnacentral:rRNA from 1 species